GGGGCAGUUUGAGGGCGCUAGUGCCUGGAGGUAACCAGCAUAUAAACUGGGAUAUCAUAGAAGAAGUUAAUUUGUUUGGUAGAGAGAAGCAUCAUGGUUUCAACUCAAGCUACCUUUCUUGUCUUAAGUCCUUGUUGAGAACCCUGAGUUUCUGCUCAACUAAAGGACUUUUCAUGACUUCUUUUUCUUGGGUCACUUGUGUCUCUUCAUGGUGUUCAUUAUGAGAACACUUAAUACUGAUUGGAGACCUUGAAGCCCAGUUUAAAGCAAGCUGGAAGACCACAAUUGUCUCUCUCACUGUGGAUCAUGAGAUUUAAACAUUGCAUCGCACUCAAAUAACCUUGUGGAUUUAAAGCUCAUCUUCUCUCAUCUUCAUCAUCACUCAUCAGAAGAGACUGGGCAUUCAAAUGCUAAGUUUACUCCUCAUUGACUCAUUUAAAAACCAAAAGGCCAACAAUUACUUUCAAGUUUAUUCAUUUACUUGGGGCACAUUUAUAUAAGUAUGUGUGGGAAAAAUAAAAUACUUGUGAAAGCUUA